ACCUUUGCGCGCCGAUUUUCGGAGCUACACACGAGUAUCUCAACCUACUCAUAACAUUUAUUGUAAUAGGCCUUGAAGUUGGCUUNNUUUAAGGCACUCCUUCUAAAUUAAUUCAAUGCAAGAGCAUGUUUACAUUGUAAUUUUCAUAGUAAAUAUGAGUUUGUAUAGAACAGNUNGCNUUCAGUUGUUAGCUAAGAUUCNUAUUUGAUCUCUGGCUGUGUAGGAAUACCCGCUGAAUUUAAGCAUAUUAAUAAGCGGAGGAAAAGAAACUAACAAGGAUUCUCUUAGUAAGGGCGACUGAAGCGAGAAUAGCUCAAGAUGUUAAUUGAUGUGUCAUGCCAUCGAAUUGUGGUCUUUUGAUAUUUGUGUUAAAGUGUGGAUGAAGUCUUCUGGAAAGGAGCGGCCAAAGAGGGUGACACCCCCGUGAAUCUACGCUGUAUAACUUUUAUCAU
rnacentral:rRNA from 1 species